UGCCCUGCCCUGCCCUAGAGUUAGUCUCUGCCUGACUCUGGCUUGCUCAACAAAUCCUACCCUAGGCACCCUCCACUCCAGCCCUAUGUGACCAGAAAGUGAAGCGCUUCGUGCCUGGCUUCCGAGUUAUGGGACUGUCUCACACACAGCAAAGUGAAGGAGGAAGGGCAGAAGGAUGACGGAGGGUUAAAGAUGAGUAAACCAGAUUUACCUGGGGCCAGAACCCAAUCGCCCUAUGGCCACACCAAGAAGGAUGACCGUCUUCUGCAUCAGUAAGGGGGUAAGCUGUGAAUCUGGAAUAACAGCCCUUGGCCGGGCUCUGAGAUAACACUGUAAGUAUAAUACAAAUUCAUUCAACUAACUCGUUGAACAUCUACUGUGUGCCAGGCACUGUGGUAGAAAAUGGGAGUAAACCAUGAGUAAGACAUAGUCUCUGCCCUCAGAGUUCCCGCAGAGCAGUGAGGGGAACAGACAAGAAAAGACACCGACACUUUGACACCUAUGCCUAUAACAAUGAGUGCUCCCUCAGUACCAGGUACGUGCCUGAAGGUCUCCACUGAUUAUUUCACAUAGUACUGAAAUUGACCUGGGGAGGUGGGUAAUAUUAUUCUCAUUUAAUAGAUAAAAGAGGUGAGGCUAAGAGAAUUUUACUUGCCCAAGAUCACACAACUCAGCUGGUGGCAGAAUAAAGAUGUGGACUUGGCCUUGCCUGGCUCCAGCUGUGAUAUGGCUAUCCCCCUCAUGGUUUGUUAGAAACAUGUCUUGGUUCUUCUUCCCUGCCUUGCCCCUGCUGCAGAAACUCUUGGUCUGCCUGCUGUGCAACGUGGUUCCCCAGGAUGCAAUCUACCUCCUUCGAACAGGGAGAGCAGAGGCUUUGGCUUGUCACAAGAGCUAGAUGUGCUUUAGCGUUUUCAGGGCCCCUGCCCUCAAGGAGCCUACAGUCUAGGAGAAGAGAUGUGAUGCAUACAAAUAUCCAGGUUAUAAGAAUGACGAAUCUAUGAGCUGUUUUAUAUUUUUAAGACAGUCUCAGCCUGACAACAGACAGUUGUCUCCCCUGACAACACUUUUGCAAUCUCCAUAAUGGAUUCCCUACAUUGCAUUAUAUUUAUAUUCUACACUUGUAGUUGUGAAGCCCUUCAAAGCUCUGACUUUGAUAUAUCUCACAUCUUGUAUAUUUCUCAAAUCUAGCAUCCUUAUUCCUGGGGCAGAUAUCACUGCCCUCUUACUUCUUGCCUAGGUUCUCACCACAGCCUUUUUACAGCUCCCUCCCUCAAAUCUCUCCAUUCUUCACAUUGUAGUCAGAGUGAUCUUGCACUGCCAAUUUUGGGUCGAUCCCUUGCUUAAAACCCUCGAUGGCACACCACAACCCCCAGGAUGAAUCCAAGCUUCUAAGCCUGGUAUUCCAGACUCUCCCAUUAUGUCUUGCACAUUCUGUGCUUCAGCAACAUUCUAUGCCCCGGCAAGAGGGGGCUGCUUACAAUCUCCUUCUACGCACUCUGCUGUUCCCCAGCUCUGGGCCCAUGUCCUUCUGUCCUUCUUAAAAACAUGCUUUCUCCCCACCUUCGCCUGAACAACUUCUACUCAUUCAUCAAGACUGAACCGGGACAGAGAUGACAUAGGAAACCUUCUUGGACCCGCAUCCGCCAUAUCGUAUGACAACUGUCUCCUCAUGUGCCGGUUUUCACCACUAGACUGAGUCUCAUGAAGACAACUGAGGGUGUCUUCUUCAUCUUUGUACCUCCAGCACCUACCACGGUUUCAGGAACAUAAUAGUCAUUCAGAGCUCAAAUAAAUGGCCAUCCGUUUCUUCCAGGGUAAUCGCAUGUUUUUCAUUUUUGACCCAAGAAUUUGGACACUGUGUACCCCGGCCAGUUCUUCCUAUAUAUGAGCAAGAGAUCUGCAUUCUCCAGAUUCUGGAGAAAGUGAAGUCAUCUCCUUAACGAUGGCUCAGAAUUGACUUUUCAGCCUGUCUCCGCAGCCAACACUGGGCUCUUUGGCAAGACAGCACUGCAGCCAGCCUAUCAGAGUUCCAUUUCUGGUCACUGCAGAUACUUUAAUUUCUACCCUAGGACAGAAACCACCAUUUGAUUGGUGGACAUUUAAUGGAUUAGGUGGUGCUUCAGAGAGAGCUUUUCCCCUAAGUAUCCAUCUUUCAUGGUGUCCAGAAAGCCUUCAAAGUACGUCAAGUGCACAAAAAUGUACAAAUAUGGUGCCUGCUUAUUCAUUGAACUGAAAAUCUACUAUCCUCUCUCUUUCCAGCCUGGAACUGGGUGAGUUAUAUUUAAGUCUCCAGCCUCGCCCUGAAUAUAGCUCACUCUAAAAGGAUAACCAAAGAGGGAAAAAUUAACACAGACCUAUGAAAAUCAAUGUAACAUAAGAGGAGAAAAAUGGCCCAAUAUUCUAGAGUAAGAUAUAGAAUUUUCCCCUUUCGAUGUAGAUUUUUUUGGGUAUGGAAUAAAAACAUUUUUAGAAACGA